rnacentral:rRNA from 1 species
GACGAACGCUGGCGGCGUGCUUAACACAUGCAAGUCGAGCGAUGAAGCACCUUCGGGUGUGAAUUAGCGGCGAACGGGUGAGGAACACGUGAGAAAUCUGCCUUCAACUCUGGGAUAACUCCGGGAAACCAGGGCUAAUACCGGAUAUGAGCCUUGAUCGCAUGAUCGGGGCUGGAAAGUUUUUCGGUUGAAGAUGAUCUCGCGGCCUAUCAGCUUGUUGGUGAGGUAAUGGCUCACCAAGGCGACGACUGGUAGCCGGCCUGAGAGGGCGACCGGUCAAACGGGGACGGAGAAACGGCCCAGAAUCCCACGGGAGGAAGCAGUGGGGAAUAGUGGGCAAUGGAGGAAACUCUGACCCGGCGACGCCGCGUGAGGGAUGAAGGCCUUCGGGUUGUAAACCUCUUUCAGUAGGGAAGAAGCGAAAGUGACGGUACCUACAGAAGAAGCACCGGCUAACUAUGUGCCAGCCGCCGCCGUAA